rnacentral:rRNA from 1 species
AGCGAACGCUGGCGGCAGGCCUAAUACAUGCAAGUCGAGCGCACCUUCGGGUGAGCGGCGGACGGGUGAGUAACGCGUGGGAACGUGCCCUUUGGUACGGGAUAACUGAGGGAAACUUCAGCUAAUACCGUAUGUGCCCUACGGGGGAAAGAUUUAUCGCCAUUGGAGCGGCCCGCGUUGGAUUAGCUAGUUGGUGGGGUAAAGGCUCACCAAGGCUACGAUCCAUAGCUGGUCUGAGAGGAUGGUCAGCCACACUGGGACUGAGACACGGCCCAGACUCCUACGGGGGGCAGCAGUAGGGAAUCUUGCGAAAUGGGCGAAAGCCUGGCGCAGCCAUGCCGCGUGAAUGAUGAAGGUCUUAGGAUUGUAAAAUUCUUUCACCGGGGAAGAUAAUGACGGUACCUGGAGAAAAAGCCCCGGCUAACUUCGUGCCAGCCGCCGCCGUAAUAC